GCCCAGCUGGCUCAGUUGGUAAAGCGUGUGACUCUGGAUCUCAGGGUUGUGACUUCAAGCCCUAUGCUGGGCA
rfam:Felis catus isolate Cinnamon breed Abyssinian chromosome A1, whole genome shotgun sequence.